ACCAUGUUGCCCAGACUGGUCUCGAACUCCUGGCUUCAAGUGAUCCUCCUGCCUCAACCUCCCAAAGUGCUGGUAUUACAGAUGAGAAAACAGAAGCAAAGGCAGAAAGAUGCUACAUUGCCAGCUUUGAAGAUGGAGGGAAGAGGUCACAAACCAAGGAAGGCAAUGAGGACGUUGCACAAGACAGUCCCUGAUACCCAGAGUUUACUGCCUAAGAGAGGAUACAUCCUUCAAACCAAUAAUCUGCUAAUAGCAAGAUCCAAUAGCUUCAUGGAUAUUGAAAGAAACUGAGAAUCAAAUUUGCAUACUUCUGAGUCACUUGGAAACAAAAAACAAGUACAGUCUUAGAUUCUGAGGGAACAAAAAUUAAAAAUCACAUUAGGAAGAGAAUUCCUAAUGUAGGAACUCAUCCUGGAAGAUUCUUCAGCAAAAGUACAGACAAUAAUAAUAAUACUCCAUGAAGUUACCAUCGAUAUUGAAUGAAUUAAUGAAUGUAAAAACCUCAAAACCCUGCCUGGCCCAGAGCUUUGGAAUGGGUUUGGAUCUACCACUCAACUGCUUUAUGACUUCAGACCAGUUAUUUAAAUUCCCUGAAGCUCAGUUUCCACAUCUUUGAGUUUUUAUUAAUGACCUGCCGACAUCAUACAGUUCAUGAAAUGCUCUGGAUGUGUACAUGCUGAUGAUACGACCUCAGACCCAGCAAGAGCUCAGCCCGGAGAGCUGUGAGCAGUGCCACAGGAGGAGAUGACUGGUGAGUGAAAUAAGCAAGAUAGGAGUUGAAGUGUACAUGAAGCAGAGUCCAAGCCUUCUCCUUCUGGAUGUUCAGCUGGAUCAUCCUGACUGCUCCCACUUUCAUCUUGGCUUUCAAAGGCAAGAGGAAAUUAUAAGGAAUAUUCUGAGUGGCUUUCAUCCAGGAGUUCUGUGGGACCCGCAACACCUGGAUGGUAGAUGCAAACAGAUAAAGAAUAUUGGUCACCAAAAGGAGUUCUUUUCAUCAUAGAUCUCUGAAGGUAGACACCUAUUUGCAGACUUCUCAAAG
rnacentral:lncRNA from 1 species